AAUUCAUCAUGUGAAACCUGCAUCACUUGAAACCAUGAACUAUCAUAUUAAAAAUUAAUAUUCAAUCAAAUGGUAAAUCAUCAAGUAUUCUGAAGCAAGAGAACAUUUUCAAAAAGUAUAUGCAUAAUCGAGUUAAACUAUAACACCUUCAAAACAAUCUGAAGAUGAUCUAUGGAGCAGCAGUAGUCAUACUUUAGAAGUGCUGUCAGAAUGCAGUUCUACGCGCAUUUGUUCAACGAGUAGUUCUUCAAUAGCAUCCACAAAGCUCAACAAGUUUAGCUGCACGUUUACGUCCAAGUAGUUCACCACUUCCUCAACCUUGCAAAGAAAGCUUAAUGAAAUUUCCUUUGAAUGGAGAUCUGAACUUUUGAGCGACAAAAGCUUCAGUGGAGAUCUUGAUAUGGGCCAACCUUGACAUAACUUUAUGAACGCAUCAACUCCCCCAACUAAAUGAGCAACAACUAUCUCAUCCCUAUCCAAGUACUCAAAGGAGUGUCUGCAUUAUGAGCUAAGUUAUUCUAAAUUCUGCAAAAGAUUAAGAGAAUAAAAGUACUAUUUGAAAGCUAAUUGCAUUAUUUCAUACAGAUUAUUGUAUAUCUGUGUCAGACUGUCAACUUAUUCCAUUCAUACCACCAUAGAUCUGAGUCAAUUUCAGAAGUCAACAAAAGUUGACCUUAAACAAGGCAAUCUUACCUUGAUUUAUUUGCAUGCUUCACUAACAAACCUCUCAAGGUGCACUGAAUGAUUCUAUCUUGCACUUUUCCCACAAACCACCCCAAUGAAGAUCUAGUCUCCAUGGCUGAGCGUGAAAAUAAUUGCCUGAAAGAUUUUGCAGCAUCAAUAAUAUCACUUAUGUACACGUCAUUUGGAAAAAUCUCAGCAUUCUUAAGCUCCAUAGUUCCAUUAACGACUUCUAUCAGCAACUCGUGAUUUACUUCAGAUGGCUCAGCAGCAUUUUCAAUCUUUUGUUGACACAAUAAAUCUUCUAAUUUUGGAAGAUAAGUCCGCAAUGACAAUUGAAUACAGAUACCAUCAAAAUCAAUGACCUUUAGACCUGAUAAUGUAUCUUCAAUUUGUUCUGCAGCAUCAAUCCUUUUGAAUAUUGAAUCAAGAUCCUGUAAAGACUUCAACAUCACUUGGCUUUCCUCAAUCUGAUUAUCAAGCUUUAAAACCUGAAGCUCGCAUUCUCCAGUUGCAUUUGUUGAAUUUAUUUCUUUUCCUCUCAAUGCAUCCUGCGAUGAUAUAAGACCUAGUGUAUACUUCAACAAUUCAAUGUCACUCUCCAACUGAGUAGAAUCCUCCUCAUGGUUUCUAGUAAGAACCUCAA
rnacentral:misc_RNA from 1 species